CCUACGGGAGGCAGCAGUGGGGGAUAUUGCACAAUGGGGGAAACCCUGAUGCAGCGACGCCGCGUGUGGGAAGACGGUCCUCUGGAUUGUAAACCACUGUCCCCAGGGACGAAGAUGACGGUACCUGGGGAGGAAGCUCCGGCUAACUACGUGCCAGCAGCCGCGGUAAUACGUAGGGAGCGAGCGUUGUCCGGAAUUACUGGGUGUAAAGGGAGCGUAGGCGGGACUGCAAGUUGGGUGUCAAAUCUACCGGCUCAACCGGUAGCCGCACUCAAAACUGCAGUUCUUGAGUGAAGUAGAGGCAGGCGGAAUGCCUGGUGUAGCGGUGAAAGGCGUAGAUAUUAGGAAGAACACCAGUGGCGAAGGCGGCCUGCUGGGCUUUUACUGACGCUGAGGCUCGAAAGUGUGGGGAGCAAACAGGAUUAGAUACCCGGGUAGUC
rnacentral:rRNA from 1 species